rnacentral:rRNA from 1 species
UACGGAGGGUGCAAGCGUUAUCCGGAUUCACUGGGUUUAAAGGGUGCGUAGGAGGGCAGGUAAGUCAGUGGUGAAAUCUCCAAGCUUAACUUGGAACUGCCGUUGAUACUAUCUGUCUUGAAUAUUGUGGAGGUGAGCGGAAUAUGUCAUGUAGCGGUGAAAUGCUUAGAUAUGACAUAGAACACCAAAUUGCGAAGGCAGCUCGCUACUCAAUUAUUGACUCUGAGGCACGAAAGCGUGGGGAUCAAACAGG